GACGAACGCUGGCGGCGUGCCUAAUACAUGCAAGUAGAACGCUGAAGGCGGAGCUUGCUUCUCCGGAUGAGUUGCGAACGGGUGAGUAACGCGUAGGUAACCUGCCUGUUAGCGGGGGAGAACCAUUGGAAACGAUAGCUAAUACCGCAUAACAGUUGAUGUUGCAUGACAUUUGCUUGAAAGGUGCACUUGCAUCACUACUAGAUGGACCUGCGUUGUAUUAGCUAGUUGUUGAGGUAACGGCUGACCAAGGCGACGAUACAUAGCCGACCUGAGAGGGUGAGAGGCCACACUGGGACUGGGACACGGCCCAGAAUCCUACGGGAGGCAGCAGUAGGGAAUCUUCGGCAAUGGACGGAAGGCUGAACGAGCAACGCCGGGUGAGUGAAGAAGGUUUUCGGAUCGUAAAGCUCUGUUGUAAGAGAAGAACGAGAGUGAGAGUGGAAAGUGCACACUGUGACGGUAUCUUACCAGAAAGGGACGGCUAACUACGUG
rnacentral:rRNA from 1 species